GCCUUCGUGGUGUAGUGGUCAGCACACUGGAUGCGUAUUCGAGAGGUUGGUGGUUCGAGUCCCCCCGAAGGCA
rnacentral:tRNA from 1 species